rnacentral:rRNA from 1 species
UACAGAGGUCUCAAGCGUUGUUCGGAUUCAUUGGGCGUAAAGGGUGCGUAGGCGGUCGUGCAAGUCGGAUGUGAAAUCUCAGGGCUCAACCCUGAAACUGCAUUCGAUACUGCCGUGCUUGAGGACUGGAGAGGAGACUGGAAUUUACGGUGUAGCGGUGAAAUGCGUAGAUAUCGUAAGGAAGACCAGCGGCGAAGGCGGGUCUCUGGACAGUUCCUGACGCUGAGGCACGAAGGUCAGGGGAGCAAACGGG